rnacentral:rRNA from 1 species
CGUGAGUAACCUGCCUUGGAGUGGGGAAUAACGCAUCGAAAGAUGUGCUAAUACCGCAUAAUGCAGUUGGGCCGCAUGGCUCUGACUGCCAAAGAUUUAUCGCUCUGAGAUGGACUCGCGUCUGAUUAGCUGGUUGGCGGGGUAACGGCCCACCAAGGCGACGAUCAGUAGCCGGACUGAGAGGUUGGCCGGCCACAUUGGGACUGAGACACGGCCCAGACUCCUACGGGAGGCAGCAG